CCUACGGGAGGCAGCAGUGGGGAAUAUUGGACAAUGGGGGAAACCCUGAUCCAGCGACGCCGCGUGAGUGAAGAAGUAUUUCGGUACGUAAAGCUCUAUCAGCAGGAAAGAAAAUGACGGUACCUGACUAAGAAGCCCCGGCUAACUACGUGCCAGCAGCCGCGGUAAUACGUAGGGGGCAAGCGUUAUCCGGAUUUACUGGGUGUAAAGGGAGCGUAGACGGCAGCGCAAGUCUGGAGGGAAAUGCCGGGGCCCAACCCCGGAACUGGUCUGGAAACUGGGAAGCUGGAGUGCGGGAGGGGUAAGCGGAAUUGCUGGUGUAGCGGUGAAAUGCGAAGAUAGCAGGGGGAACACCGGCGGCGGAGGCGAGUUACUGGACUGUAACUGACGUUGAGGCUCGAAGGCGUGGGGAGCAAACAGGAUUAGAUACCCGGGUAGUC
rnacentral:rRNA from 1 species